rnacentral:rRNA from 1 species
GAUGAACGCUGGCGGCGUGCUUAACACAUGCAAGUCGAACGGACAGACCAUGCUCUUGCGCGGCGCACGUGAGCCGCGGGCGUGAGUAUAACACGUGUAUAACCUACCUGUAAGUCGGGUAUAACUUGGAGACACCGGAUCUUAUACCGUAGAAGAUAUUGAACCGCGGUGGGCGAUGGUAAGAUUCGGUUUUUGUGGCACGUAUCGAUGGAUCCGCGCCGCAUUAGCUAGUUGUGAAGUUAACGGCUUACCAAGGGAACGAGGCGUAGACGAAGUGAGAGGGUGAUCGCCGACACGAGAACUGAGCCACGCUCCAGACGACUACGGGAGGCAGCAGUAGGGAAUCUUCCGCAACGGGGGAAAGCUUUGCGGAGCAACGCCGAGUGAGAGAUGAAGGUCUUCGGAUCGUAAAACCCUGUUAUUAGGGAAGAACCAAUGUGUACGUAACUAUGGACGUAUUGACGGUAACUAAUAAGAAAGCAACGGCUAACUACGUG